rnacentral:rRNA from 1 species
AUUAUUUGACGUUACCUACAGAAGAAGCACCGGCUAACUCCGUGCCAGCAGCCGCGGUAAUACGGAGGGUGCGAGCGUUAAUCGGAAUUACUGGGCGUAAAGCGCAUGCAGGCGGCCUGUUAAGUCAGAUGUGAAAGACCCGGGGCGUUAACCUCGGAAUUGCAUUUGAAACUGGCAGGCUAGAGUCUUGUAGAGGGGGGUAGGAAGUUUCAGGUGUAGCGGUGAAAUGCGUAGAGAUCUGAAGGAAUACCGGUGGCGAAGGCGGCCCCCUCGGACAGAUACUGACACUCAGAUGCGAAAGCGUGGGGAGCAAACAGGAUUAGAUACCUGGUAG